GUCGUCUGCUUCGUUUUAUUAGAAGUUUCAAAGUAUAAAAGUACAAAAUUGUGGUUGUCGAUUGUCGAGUCAACUCUGGUCGCGUAAUACACACUCCAUGCUGUUUUACAGAUUUUAGGCCUGAUCCAGCCAUUAUAAAUACAACAUCUACCAGCUUUGCUUGUGCUGGUGUUGCCCUGUCAUCUGCAACAAUCUCAGCAUCAUCGCUUGGAACAGCAUCCUGUUUGAUUGGAGAAAUUCCCCUCUCUUUAAAUAUCCUAUGUCCUUGUGUACACCCAUGUGAGUGUGGGUGUAUUCACGAGGACCCCCUUUUUUUCUUAUCCUGCUUGGCGUAUUCAACUUUUCUGCGGAUGGAGCACUUGUGGAUGCCUGGCCGGAUUUCCCAGGCUUAAAGACUCUAUAAAAAGAAGAACGAAUCCAGCCAGCGCCUAUGCAGUUAAUACGUCAUUAUAGCGCUCUGAUGGUUUCGCCUUCAUCUUUCAGACUGACAUAUUUCGGGAAACUCAAAAAAAAAAGAAAAUGAUGUGCAACACAAAAAAAAAGCUCGAACGCACGUCAGUUGCGCACAAAUAACAAUUUGGUAUUUAACUACACGACUCCUAAGUGAUAGGAAAGUUAAAAAAAGAAAAGAAAAAUUGUUGAGCUAAUGUUGACCUAAAUUGUGUGUUCACACUCCCCCUUUCCCUUUUUUUUUCCAAAUUUUUCAUUCUGUGUGCAUGGAUUACGCGGGGAAACCUUAUUAUGUUCGCUCCCCGAAUCCAGCGUGAAAUAUACGCCCUUUAUAUAUAUAGUA